UAAAAAUUCUUACUUCAUCAUCCUAUGGAGAGGUGAGGAAAUGAAGGAUAAUGUAAAAAUAUCCAGUUACACUAGAAAUAAAAAAGCUGAAAUUGAAAAUUAGGUAUGUCUGUGUUCAAAGCCAAUGUUCUCUCUUUUACAAUACUAAAAGUAAAUGCAGAAAGGUAGGGUAUCCUUCACCCAUAUAAAAGUAAUUCAAACUCAUUACAGAAAAAAAUAUGUGUAUCCUUACUCUACUACCAAAAAAUUCUUACUACCAGUGUUUUCUGUUUUAGACUCAUUUGGGGGGAGUGGCAUAUGUCAUAAUAUGUUAUGAUGCCCCCUUGAGAACUUGUGCCACGAGUUAACUAGUGCAAAGAUUUCACUGUUGAGGACAAAUUUACUGAAUUAAAAUCUCCAAUGUCUCCUAGCGACAGAAAGGCAACUUUGACCAUUGAGAGUCAUCCCAAGUCUGAAGACAAUCAAAGAACUGCUGUGAAGCAAGGAGACAUGGGGGUGAUCACGAUUUCUGCUCAGUGCUGUGGAAUGAUGAGGUUGAAGAUGGAGGUCAUGGACCAGCCUGCAGCAGGUAGUCUCUGAAGUGGGACACCUGUAAUUGUCUGCUUGGCCAACCAAGCAGAAAGGGAAGCCUGCUAGAGUUCUCAAUGCCAUUGUGAUUAAAAGAGAUCACGGCCUAUUUUGCUGCAAAAUACAUCUAUUCACAAAUAGCCUUAUAGUUUUAGUCUACAAUACAGAGUGUUUUUGCUCAAUUCUUAUGGACAGGAAAUGGAGAGAUGUCAUAUAGUGAGGAACAGGGUUAACUUAUUAAUUACUCUUAAAGCUACAAUCUCAGAACAGGCUUUGUGGAGUUCACAUGAGCUGGAGAAAGGAUAAGAGUAGCAUUAACAAAGUAAAUCCAGAGACUAACUACAAAACCCUAUAUAUGUAUCCUAAAUGUUUGGGUUUUUUUUUAUCUUUAGGAAUAGAGUUCUAAUAAACCACAACAAUAUUUUGGACCUAUUUGGGACUAUUAAUAAAGAUAUAAUUCUUGCAUAAUGACACUACACAUUGGCCAGAUAAUAUAAAAUAUGAGAGACAGUCUCAAUGACCUAAACAUUCAUUUUCUUCAUUAUGAUGGCAUUAAUAUGAGGUGUCUCAUAUUGGUAGUCUAAAAACAGUGGUCAUAUCCAUCUUUAUAAAUGGAGAAAAAUUCAGUUCCCACGUAACAUCAUCAGUUUUAUAAACAUGCCUCACUUUAAAUUGAGAGGGAAGAAAGAUUGACAUUCAUAAUAGUCCUAACACUGCUGAAGUGAUAGAAAUCACAAUAAAACUUCAUUAGGUUAGGUGUUUGGAGAAGGAAUGACAUUGGGGAUUAGUUUCAGUAUUUUAAACAGGGAGAGAUGUGAAAAACAGGAUGUCAAAACAGAGGGUCUCUGGAUGUCCAUGGUUGAAAGUAUUUCCAAGGAAACACCUUAAAUGUUUAUCAAUAAGCAAGAACUAAAUAAACUAGGAUACAGACAAAAUACACAAUAUUUUGCAAGAAAUAAAGUAAGAAGCAGAUUUAUGUAUUUAUUGGCUUGGAAGGAACUCGAAGGCACAUUGUCACGUGAAUAAAGUGUCAGAUAACUUACAGCGGA